rnacentral:rRNA from 1 species
AUGGCUAGCUAUGGGGCCUCACUCGGCUCCGUCACGACCUUCAUCCUGCCGAAGAUCUGGUGGGCAUGCUUUUGGCAAAAGCCAGAUCUUCGAGAUGCAGUCGAUUCCUUGAAGCUGCAGCAUAAGCAUAUCCUGGGGAAGAUUCGAGAAUACCGCGCCAUAAGCGAACGUUUCAGCGAUAUUGGGGGAACCCUGGAUGAGCAUAUUGCAGAUCUGAGACGCAUGGCAAAUGAAAUGGAGGACUGCAUAGACAGCUGCCAUAUCGCGGAGGCGACAAGAACGCGUGCAGAGCUUCUUAGAAAGAUUCCUCGUCUCAAGGAAAGAUCCGAAAAACUGGAAGUGGAUUAUAAGGGUCCAGGGAAAUCCACCGGAGGGGAAACAACGACCUCAAGAAAAGAAGCAAGUAAUGGAGCUUCUGGACAUGGGCAAUCAUAUUCUGGAGGUGGCUUCCGAGUUGUAAAACCGUCCUGUGCUGAUCCGGUGGACAUGGACGGUCCAAUCAAGGAACUUCUGGACCUGGUGAAGAAAUCGGAUAGCAAACCGGAAAGUAAGCAGCUCAAGGUGAUCUCCAUCUCUGGCUUCGGUGGCUUGGGUAAGACUCUCCUUGCCGACAAAGUUUACUUCCAUGAAGAUGUGUGCGCGCAGUUCAGGGUGCGCGCUUGCGUCGAGGCCGCGGGAAAGAGCCAUGACCAAGUUCUCGAGGAGAUACUCAAGCAAGUACCCGGGACUAGUGCUAAUGAUGAAGAGAUACCACAAAAUGGCGAGCAAAGUGUGAACGACAAGGGCAAGAAAGUCCAGAUUGAUGGAGUGACACGACAAAAUGGCGAGCCUGGUCAUGGUCAAGCCACACAACCAAGUACUAGCGAACGUCUCAGAUCAUCCCUCAAGAAUGAACGGUUUUUGAUUAUAAUUGUGGACAUCCAAGAGAAUAGGGGCGAAAUAGCGAUAGCAUCUGUUUUAAAGGGUCUUGGUGAUGUGCACAGCAGGGUUAUCGUCACGACAACCAUUCAGAGCAUAGCAACAAGCUGGGCAUCUCCAAACAACCAUUUGUAUCCUAUGAGUACACUUAAUAAAGUCCACUGGGAAGAGCUGUUCUUCAGAGAAUUUGAUGAAGGGAAAUGCAAAAAGCCAUCGGAGAUGGGGCAGUUAAGUUCACUGAAGUCACUUCUGGAGAAAUGUGACGGCCUUCCUCUUGCUCUGAUCAGCACUGCAAAAGUUUUGAGUGGAACUGAACUGGACAAUAAAGCAUGUACAGAAGCCUGGAAGAAGCUUUGUGACAUAAAACAUGACGAAACAAGCACGUUACAGAAAAUGCAACGGGUGCUAGCCAGCACCUGCGCUGGUCUAUCUGGCACUAACGUACCUCCUACCCUCAUUGAUUGCUUGCUCUAUUUCAGCAUGUUCCCACCAAAUCAUCAUGUCAGGAAGAAUUCUCUAAUAAGGCGAUGGCUGGCUGAAGGAAUGAAACACAAUGUUGACAGGAAGGAAUUUAAUUUAGAAGAGCACAUUGAGUGA